AGAAUCAACGCUGGCGGCGUGCCUAACACAUGCAAGUCGCACGAGAAAGGGGCUUCGGCUCUGAGUAAAGUGGCGCACGGGUGAGUAACACGUGACUAAUCUACCCUCGAGUGGGGAAUAACCUAGAGAAAUCUGGGCUAAUACCGCAUAACACUUACGAGUCAAAGCAGCAAUGCGCUUGGGGAGGAGGUCGCGGCCGAUUAGCUAGUUGGCGGGUAAUGGCCCACAAGGCGAUGAUCGGUA
rnacentral:rRNA from 1 species